CUUUUUACAUAAAUAGGAAAGUUGUACUGCUGCACUUGUGACCCUGAGCCUGGCCUCUGCGUUGCACUCUAUUCUGGUAAAAAUGUCAUCUUUCUCUCUCUGUAAAAUAUUUGGACAAUCAGCAGCAACACAACUAUAAGCUAGAAUGUGAAACAGAGUGAAUAUUAUCAGCAAAUAAAAUCAACUUGUUGACUUGUGGAAAAUUGACCCAUGAGGACUUGAGGAGCAGCCAUCAAAGCUGGAGCCCCAUGUUGAGGUUGUUGCAGGAGAUUGGAAGGAGACUGCUGGUCAGCUGGUACCCUGGCAUCCACUGAGUGUCUUGGAACGUAUCCUCCGUGGGUAAGGGGGACUACCGCAUCUCUGUGCCUCUGGCCCAGCACAUCAGACCUGCGUGUAACUCAGCCCAUUGCACCAUUCUCCACUUGGACUAUGGGAGAUGGCUCCUCAAAAUCUGUGAGAACAAGAGAGCUCCUUUUUAGGAAAGCGUGUUUCUAAUCCUGCUGGCUUUCCCAAUUCCCAGGAUCUGAGUCUGUGAGAAGUGCCCCCAUCUUCCACCAUCUGUAGGCCCAGGCCAGCCUGUGCCUGAGCUGAUUCCGACUGGUGUGGUGGUGAGAAUGUCAGCAGCUGUCUUUCCCAACCUGGGUCAGAAAAUGCCACUGUUUCUCCAUGUCCAGGCCCCACUAGAGAGAAGUGGCCGUUUUUGAGAAUUAUGGCAACCUCUCCCACAUGCCCUGUUGAGAAAUUGUUGGCCUUCCCUUCUGAGAAGGUUUGGGUGACCUAUGUGUCAAAUGCUGGCAUGGCUCAGAAGCUAGCCAUGCUCUGCUACUGCCAGGACCCUGGGCUCCUGAAUAGCCCUUGGUGUCCAUCAGUACCCACCUGUCUCAGGACCUACGGUGCUGCAGAGUGUCUGAGUUUUAGUUUAUCCCAGCCCCUUUCCACAUGGGUUUAAUUUGAAAUUGGGCUCUGCUUGAUUUCCUUCUCUGCCUUCUGUUGGAGAGUUUGCCAGCUGUCCUGUCCUAGACUUAAGCCAGUGUUGGACCUAGCGUCUCAGGCCCUGCUCUUAGCGUCCCACACCUGUAGUGGGCAGAAUUCUGAGAGUCCCCAAAGAUUUCUCUCCCCUGGUGUACACAUCCCAAAUAAGCUCCUCCCCUUAAGUGAGGGCAAGACUAUGAAUAUGAUGGAUUAGAUUGCAGAGGUGAAGGUCAAUUUGCAGAUGAAAUUAAGAUCUCUAAUCAGUUGAUUUUGAAUAAUCAACAGGGAGAUCACCUGAGCCCUUAAAUGAGAUUAGGCCCUUCCUGAAGAGAGAUUCCAAACCUGAGAGAUCCUUCUGCUGGUCUUGAGGAAGUAAGCUGCCACGAUGUGAGAGGGCCUGUGGAUGGGCCAUGAGCGGGGAGCUGAGCGUGACCUCUAGGAGCAGAGAGCAGCCUCUAACUGAUGACGUCCAGUGGGCAAGAAAGCUGGGACCACAGUCCUGCAGUUGCAAGGAACUGAAUUUGGCCAAGAACUAUGUGCACUUGGAAGUAGACCCUGCACUCCAGAAGGAAAUGCUCCUCAGCCAAAAGCUUAUGAGAGACCCUGCCCAGACUUCUGAC
ensembl:lncRNA